rnacentral:rRNA from 1 species
UAAGGAAUAUUGGACAAUGGAGGCAACUCUGAUCCAGCCAUGCCGCGUGAAGGAAUAAGGCCCUAUGGGUUGUAAACUUCUUUUAGACGGGACAAAACCCCUUUACGUGUAAAGGGUUGAUGGUACUGUCAGAAUAAGCAUCGGCUAACUUCGUGCCAGCAGCCGCGGUAAUACGAAGGAUGCAAGCGUUAUCCGGAAUUAUUGGGUUUAAAGGGUGCGUAGGCGGACUAAUAAGUCAGUGGUGAAAGCCUGCAGCUUAACUGCAGAAUUGCCAUUGAUACUGUUAGUCUUGAGUACAGUUGAGGUAGGCGGAAUGUGUCAUGUAGCUGUGAAAUGCUUAGAUAUGACACAGAACACCGAUUGCGAAGGCAGCUUGCUAAGCUGUAACUGACGCUGAGGCACGAAAGCGUGGGGAGCAAACA